rnacentral:lncRNA from 1 species
UAUCUCUAUUGUGGGUUCGUCAAUGGACCGGUAAAUGGAGUCGAUGAGGGUGGAAAAGAGAUGGGUUGUCUCUGCUGUGUCCAUAGGAGCAGCCAUCUCGAUUUUUUGGGAGUGAUUUGAUAUCCCACCUCUCCAUUUUUGUCUGGUUUUAUAGUGGUUCAAAAUCAGUAUUGGGAAAUAGCUGUUCUGGGUUUGAGAAUGCAUCUGGGGUUGUAAAGAACUGGCUGUGUGAUUGCUGGAGGGGAGGAUGAAGAUGAUUGUUUAAUCUUUUUUAUUGUUAGAAAAAAAAUAAUUAAUUAACUUAUAUAAUUAUAUUUUAAAUAGAUUUUCUUGUUUUUGGCACUCUUCAAAUUAUUAAACUUAAAAAAAAUAAUAAUAAUA